AAUCUUGGCCAUACCUGCUUGUCAAUCCCAAAUUGUGUCAGAUCUCAGAAGCUAAGCAAGGCCAGACCUGGUUAGAACUUGGAUGGGAGACCGCUGGGAAUACUGGGUGCUGUAGUGG
rnacentral:rRNA from 1 species